CGUUCCUAACAUGACUGACUUUCUUCUGUAAAACACAAAAGGAGAAAUUUCAAAGAUUGUUCACACUGCCGUUUUUCAUAAAAUAUAAGGAUAUAGGAACUUGAGCAGCAUGAACAUUUUGCAAAAUCUCUUCUUUUGUGUUCCACAAAUUAAAGAAACAUAAGGGUGAAUAAAUCAUUUUCGGACAAACUAUUCCAUUACGAAGAUGUGCAGUCAAAGUAAUGAGCUUUAAAACAUCUAGCAAACUCACAACAUUUUAGGUCAAGAAACAUCCCUUGCAUAAAGAGGCCUUUCAAUUUGAUCGUUUUUCAGUCUAGUCCACAUUUCAGUGCAGAAAAACAAACCAUUGGGGGACAUUUUUCUACUGAUCCAUACCGUAAGUUAUUAGCUAAAGCAUGUCAUAGAGCUUAGUGUUAACUGAGAAACAAACUGUCAUGUGUCUGGACCUCACAAGGCAGAAGAAGUCAUUACAUAAAAUUAAAAAGAAGGCCAUAAAUAGAUAAAACGAGUUGAGAUAGAAACUACAGGGCCUAAAAGAGGAGGGAAGUCAGUUCACAGAAUAUGUGCACGCUGAGGUCUUUGUGCUGUCUCUACAAAUCACCCAAAUGGCACAUAAUGGGUACAAAAAUAGUCCA